AGCUUUGCGCAGUGGCAGUAUUGUAGCCAAUGAGGUUUAUCCAAGGCAUGAUUAUUGUUAAUUGAAAGCUUUUCCCAAUCUCCGCCAUGAUGACUUGCAAUAUAGUCAGCAUUGGCAGUUUUUAACAAAAAUAUUAUUU